rnacentral:lncRNA from 1 species
UCUAGAGGGAUUCAUGGCAGAAGUGAGAAAGGUAUUUGAGCCUCCAGUUUCCAGGAGAAAGGCAGCCAUUAAACUACUUGACUUCAAAACUCCUGUAGUGUGGCAGACUACGCGGUUGAUUUUUGCUCGUUGGCCGCCGAGAGUGCCUGGAAUCCGGAGUCUCUUUUCGAUACUUUUUUGCACGGAUUAUCUGAUGAGCUAGCUGCUCGGGAAUUGUCGAUGGAUCUCGACUCCCUUAUCGCCCUUACCAUUAAAAUUGAUGGACACCUAUGGGAAUGCAAGAGUGAGAGGAGGUCUGGUCUUGGGCACACUUGUGCACCCGCUAUGGCGCGUUCACCUCCAAGGGAAUCCAGAAGUUUCCGAAGGCAGGUCUUCCGAGAGGAUUCGAAGCCACCUGAGCAUUCUCGUGAAUCUACAAUGGGCCCAUCUUUCCCCCCAGGUUAUCGGUGGCCAGCAAGCGUAAACGGUGAGACGCCUCUUCUUGAAGGUUCGACCACGGGGCAGGGGUUUCCAGUACCUGGUUGACUGGGAGGGUUAUGGCCUGGAGGAGAGGUGCUGGGUCCCUGCUAAAGACAUCUUGGACCAGGCCCUCAUCGCUGAUUUCCACCGCCGACACCCCGGUCAGCCAAGUAUGCGCCCAGUUAUGGAGCUCUCUUGGAGUUCGAAAACUUGUUGCCAUGGGGACAGCAGCCGGCUCCUGCCACACUGAGGCUGAGACUAGAUUGUGUGUGCGUAAG